GCUGGGCAUGGUGCCGCAUGCCUGUAAUCCCAGAUACUCAGGAGGCUGAGGCAGGAGAAUCGCUUGAACCCAGGAAGCGGAAGUUGCAGUGAGCCGAGAUUGCACCACUGCACUCCAGCCUGGGUGACAGAGCAAGACUCUGUCUCAA
rnacentral:SRP_RNA from 1 species